CCCAACCCACAACGAAUCAUCCACCUGCGGCUCCAUCCCCUCUCUCCUCCCUCCCCCGAUCCACAUCGCUCUUCCGGUUUUCGUUUGGAUUUGCUUCUUGUUCGUGCUCCCUUCGAUGGCUGAUGAGAGUUUUGCAGCGGUGAUGACAAAUUUGUGGACUAGAGUUUCUGACGCCGCCUCUUCAGCGGCAUCUGCAGACAACCCCUUGGCUGUCUGAGCUCCCAGAUCACACACCAUCGAUACGUCGGUUCUUCUUCUUGCUUUCUUUCCCAUCCGUGUUCUUCUCUGCUUGCAUCUUUGGCUGGUUGUGGGGUGUUCGAGUAGCGGUGAUGACAUCUAUGUGGACUAGAGUUUCUGAUGCUGCCUCUUCAGCAGCGCUUUUGAAGACAACCCCUUGGCUGUCUGAGCUCCCAGAUCCCCCAAAACCGACGCCUUUAACCUGUAUCUUAGAUCGAUUUUUUGCUGAUUUUUUCUUGGUUUAAUUUAGUUGAUGCGCGUGUCCAUUACCUAUUCCGGGGGAUGAUUUGUGUUCCUCACGGGGUAAUGGCUCGGACGCUAGAAGCGAUUCAUGUGUGGUGAUAUCCUGAUUGGUGGCGUUCUCAGUGCCAGCUUAUCCUGGAAACGCCUCAUAUAUUACCGAACUUGUAUUACUUUCUUAUAUGUUUGUAUUUGUGUUUUUGGGAUCUAAAUGAUGCGAAACUACGAAAGGGAAAUCGUCCACCGUGGCGACCAUGUCAGUUCUUUCACAUUGAUAGGAAGAUCUGAUAGAUUCCACACAACUCCUUUUUGUGUCUUUUUAUUGUUUUUGAUCUGUUCAGUUUGGAUGUGGAUGAUGAGAUCACAAGUAAAAAUACAGUUAUCCCUGUCUUACUUCCUCGGAAGGGUGCUGAGAAUACUUUGAAUCUGACACAAUUUACUCUGCAUUGCUUGACUUUUAUUUCCUGUACUUUGGUUUUUGCAAGUGUGAAAGUUGAUCUUGGCCGGUGAUGAUUAGUAUUGGUUGCAGAACAGGCAACAUAGAUUGUCUGUGCAAUGACGACACUUUCGAACUAGGACGGUCUGAGGCCACCUUGAUCACUACACUGGUUCAUCACUAAUGUUUUUCUAUUUUUCUGUUUUUGCUUCUGAUGUUUGUGCUUGCAGGGGCCUUUCUACUGAAGGUAUCAUAGGCAUUUGUAUUUGGCGCUGGACAAGGAAAAUAGGAAUUGUCAUUUUGUUUACAUGAACUGUAGUCUGAUUUUGUUCCAUCUAUUUGUAUUGUAAUUUGCAAGGAUAUGAUUGGAAUUUAUAUCUGUUCAGAGUGUUCCAACAUUGUAUUGGUCAUUUGUUGAAAUUACAUAUAUUGGAAAACUUGUAAAUCCAGAUCUCUGCGGGAUACAGCUAUUGAGAGUUGGUUCUGAUACAGCAAUGUUCUACAUAUUAUGCAUAUCAACUUACGUCAGUAGGUCACUUUUUUGACGGACAAUACACCACAUGGGUAAUCAGACCUGCACUAUGUGAGUUUCUGCUCAGAAUCAGCCCAGUUACUACAUGCUGUUGCUGUUCUAAGCACUCAAUUAGGUGUUACAACUCAGAUCAGUUGUUUCCUGGCUAUUAAUCAAUUUAAAUGAUGGAGGGCCUUAGUAAUGCAGGGUUGUGUUUAUCCUGAGUAACUUUGGUGCGCAUGGAGUAAUUUGGUUCUUCAUUUAGUUGGUAUUGGCUAGGUCUGAAUUAAUCCCUUGAAACCAAAAUUUUGUAUUAACUGUUCAGGGAGUCUAGAUCCCGCUUUGAUUAACCCCAAUGUUUCUGAAGAGUAGCAUGAGUCGCCAUCUGAAAUCUCACCAUUGGAAACAUAUUCCUCUGGGAAAAUUCUAAUGCAUGAAUAAGUUAGUAAGAACAUUAGCAACAGAGCUGAUAAAAACAUAAGUUGCAUCUGGUCAGAGCAUGGCAUGCGCUUUGAUUAACCCAAUGUUUCUGAGAGCAGCAUGAGUCGCCUUCUGAAAUCUCACCAUUGGAAAUAUAUUCCUCUGGGAAAAUUCUGGGACACUUUCGUUAUGGCUAAGGUUACAUAGCACACCAAAUCAUCUCAUCCAACAAGGCGAUCUAUGGUCUAAAUUGCUCUAAUUACCACCACGCUCCACCGCUGUACCAUGCCACUGACGCCGCCCCGCUACCUUUCCCCUUAGUCUGGUGCCCCGCUACCUUUCCCCUUAGUCUGGUGCCUCACAUUGUCAUCUCCACAAUUAGUGGGCGCUAAUGCUCCUUCAAGCAUGUUGCCGCCGGAGGUCUUGCAUCUAGCUUUGUUUUGUUAGUAUUUUUCUCAGUGACGUGCUUCAAAUUUUAUUCGGGUGUGUGCUUCGACCGAUUACCUGGUAAUUCUUGAUUUUCACUCCAUAUGUGAAUGGUUUAGCUAGCUCUUGAUCAAUAUCCUUCAGUACAUAGUUUGUAGCAAAUGGUUGUAAGUAGUCUCAGAUCGACUAACAGUAUUGGUGGAUACUAAGUACCACUACCAAUCAUCAAUCAUAAACUAUACCAAUUCUAUAUUAGUUCUAGAAAAUAAUAUGAUACAAUAGAAAAAACUCAAAUAUAAAAAAUCACAAACCUAUAUUGUUGUAUUCUUGGCAAUUCUGAUUGUACACUGAAACUUAGGUGCUUUUGGACAGCUCAUUGUACAAUAAAAUGAUGUGCCUUGCAUUAUCAUUUUUCUUGCAAAUGAAUAAAUUAAGAGCAUCCAACCCUUAAAUUUAUCUGCCUAAAGAUUGAUGUCCAGUAAGUUGAAAUGUGCACUGCUUAAUUGUUUGUUUACGGCCUUGGCGCUCUUCACGUUGCUCGAAAACCUGAUCAGCAGCACACCGACAUGCAUCAGGAAGCCGACGGACAACCAGAGCAGGAAGGCCUGGAGCUUGAGCUGCAGCGACAAGGACAGCUUGGGCGUCAGCUGAAAAAACAACAGUUCAAGUGUUCAACCAAGUGGAAGAGAAAAUGUCACAACUAUUUUACCUCCAAUGGUUGAACGCUCUUCUACCUUCGGUUCAAAUCCUCAGGCUAUCUGAAGCACCAUAGAUUUAGUUUGCAAGCAAAAGGAUCACACAACCUGAUAGUGCGGGUAAGUUAAAUUGUGCGACCGAGAUGUCAAUCAGAAAGUUGUUGGUCUCUGAUUCUCUGAAACUUGAUCCUUAUGUAACUGCCCAUUAGUCAAUAUUGUUCACGUUCCAAAUUCUUGAUUGGACUUUUGGUCUGUUUCAAAUACUAGUACAUGAUAUCCAGGUCCAAAGAUAAGUAACAGCCUAUUUGAGCAAGUUGGAAACACAUCUUGGAUUUGUAGUAGAACUUCCCUAGUGCAUUGGGAUAUUGACCUGGUCCUGGAGCCCUGGAGGUACCGAAGUGUGUGCUGUUUUUCAACUCAACCUUGAUCCUGGUGGUCUUCUGACUGUUAAAAGACAGUAUAUGCCUCACAAGCUCAGGACAUUCUCUCUAUAUAAUCCAACUUUAGCAGUAAUGUUGGGCUAAUAAAAUUGAGAGCCGUGCUAUGUAAUGGCACGAAGAGGACACUGAAGGAGGUUUUGCAAGUGCUUCCAAUUUAAGUAUUCAUCUUCUUGAAUCCAAGUACCAGAACAUUCAUCUUUAUCUUGAGACUUAGGAACGUAGGGAGAAGAGUGGACUAUGGAUUCAGAACAGAACCGGCUUGACCAUGGCACAUCUUCACCAAUGAGUCAUGUUGUCGGCACCAAUAAAAUUCAAGCUUGUCUGUGAAAAUGAGGAGAGAGAGCGGUUGUAUGUGGAUGAAUCAAUAACCCAUGUACAAGCUCCAAGGAUAAGCUUUUGUUUGUUGGACGUGUUGCUAAACCUUGAGUAGCAGCCUAAUAUCAACGCGUUGAACCAAUAUGUGAGGCGAAGUAGGACUUGCCAAAAUACCUUGACAAGACUAACUGAUCAUACAACACCCCUACACCGAAGAAUGCACCGAAUGCAAUCACAAAGGCCACCUUGUAGUCAGCUUGUUUUGCGGACGGAAUGAUGGGUUGAUGUGCUUCUGCUGAAUUGCAUUUUUGAGUGAGAGCAGAGCCACACAGCUUUGGGUUCCUGUCGAAACUAGAAUUCUGAAAUGUAUCAAACUGGCCUCCAGAUGGAAUAGGCCCUUCUAGGUUAUUGUUUGAAAUGCUGAACGCCGAAAGGAAGUGCAGGGCAUUCAAUGCAACUGGGAUAGCACCUGCGAGAUUGUUACUGGACAGGUCUAGCACCUGUAAGUUUGUGAGGUUGCAAACCGAAUGUGGAAUCUGCCCGGAUAGCUUAUUAAAACUGAAAUCAAGAACAACAAGCGCUUUGAGCUGUCCAAUCUGCGGGGGAAUUACACCUGUCAAGCAGUUGUUCCUUAGAUUCAACACUGCUGGGAAAGAUGUAA